rnacentral:rRNA from 1 species
GACAGAGGGGGCAAGCGUUGCUCGGAAUCACUGGGCGUAAAGGGCGCGUAGGCGGGAUGGCAAGUCAGUCGUGAAAUCUCUCGGCUCAACCGAGAAACGUCGGCUGAUACUGCCGUUCUUGAGGGAUGCAGAGGAGACUGGAAUUCCCGGUGUAGCGGUGGAAUGUGUAGAUAUCGGGAGGAACACCAGUGGCGAAGGCGAGUCUCUGGGAUGAUGCUGACGCUGAUGCGCGAAAGCCAGGGGAGCAAACGGG